UCACCACCACCAGCCCCGCCGUCCAGCCAUCCACCAGGACCCUCAGAGCCAGAGAAUGCAGCCAUAGGAUGUCUGGUACAGAAACAUUUUAUCCAGUCAAGAGGGUCGUAAACCACAAAAGGCUUAAGGGAAAAACAAUGGAACUUAUUGAGUGGGAGCCCUGUUCGAUGUGGUAUGCAAUAUGUCUCUUCAUUCUAUUCUAUCGUCUCAAAUAUUAGCAAAGAAAUAGCAUUAUUAUUAUUCUCAUUAUUGUUUUAACAGUUUAAAGGGUGAAGCAUCAAAAUAGUUUAUGUGUACUCCUUAAUCAAACUUUCAUAAUGAUGUCAACUACAGUAAUCAGGUUACUGAAUUCAUGUAAAAAAAUUGACUCAAAACUGUUCUUCUCUAUUGACAUGUUUUUGAAUUUCAUUCAUUGCUGAUAUAAUAACAAAUCUUUUUCACAGUGGGAAGACCUGGCCCCUCGAGUGGGUAGCCAAGGAAGACACCAAGUCUUAAAUGACAUAGAUAUAUUUUUUAUGUUCAUAUGUCUUGUUAUGUUCAAAACAACAAAUAAAGUUCAAACACUAAAACCUCAAACCCUUACCUAAUAUGUAUUGUCCCAGUUGAGUUUCCGUACUGUGCCUGACCCGCUUGUGCAUGCGGCAUAGAGUUAUGAUGCAGGUAUAUCUUAAUAUCCUUUUUUUUUUUUUCAUAGUUCCUUUUAAUUGUUUCAUAGUAUCCGGAAUUAGAUGUACGACCCCUCGUUAACGUUUACAGUAAAUAACAUAAAUGACAAAUACGACAAUGACUCAGACAAUAUGAAACUUGGUAGCAUUAUUGCAUAUUGCAUUUUCCACGGAAAAAUUUCAUUUUUUUUUUUUUAAACCUGACUUCCUCAUGUUUCUUCUUCUUCUUCUUCUUGCAACUUUAUUUAAAUGUGACCGUUCACGUGACCAGUGCGUCUGACAAUGUAAAUGUAUUUUUUGUUUGUUUUAUUCUAAUCAACCUUUAUUGGCAGAGUAUUUGGUACAAAGGCAGAUAUUUACGUACAAAGAAGCAAACAAACAAACAAACAAACAAACAACAGCCAGGAGGAUUAUUCAAAUAAAAUCAUUACAUAAUGAGGCAGCGAGCUUCAUCAGCGCAUUCACCGAACCUCGCGCGUGCGCGCGCACACACACACAAACACACGCACACAUUCGCGCCUGAGAGGGGCGGGGCUUAUCUCCCUUAAAAGAGUACCGUUUCCGCCAUCCACCAUCGAAAAGCCCGUCUAUCACUUUUACUAUAUACAUUAUUUUUGAAGUCGUGGACCACUUGACCGGAGUGUGUGUCUGCUGAACCCCUGAGAGUGACUUAACCGAUCGAACCCGGGUUAAGCAUCACUGAACUAGGUGUCCGAGCAGCAAUUCCAGCGUCCAUAGCAACCACCGCAACGUAACCAUGAAAUCGUAGCCUGAAACGGAAGGGAAGGUUUUGAAAGAGACACACAUGCGCUAAAGCGUUCAGCAUUCAAGCCCCCGGAAAGUAUGCAUUCUUUCAAUGAAAACUCAUAAAAAUAUGCCAAUUUAUGUUUGAAAAGUCAUAAUGUGAUUUGAGUGCUUUGUGUUGGCGAUUAGUGCCUUUAAUGCUGAAAAAAAAUGACCGCAGAAACAAACGUUGCAUUCCCACGCUUUCCCAAAGAGACACUCAAAUCUUCGCAGAAACGAAUAAACGGAAGGUCUUCUACAGUCUCUGAUAGAAGAUUAUGAAAGAAUAACGCAUACUUCUCGCUAGAAAUGCCAUCGAAAUGCAUACAAAUGCUGAUGCUUUCUUAAAAUAUUGUGUUUUUCACGGAGAUUAUGCUGACCGUCCGCCAUGUUUUUCUUUUCACUAACGGGAAACUUGAUAGUCACGUGACCUAUUUGCAAAGCAAUGUAAAUGAAUGGGCCAAA